rnacentral:rRNA from 1 species
AUGGUGGCACUUCGAUAUGCGGCGAGGACACUUGGUCGGUUCGCGCUCCGAAGACCACAGGGGUUCGGCAUCUCAUCAACUGCAGCGGAGGAUCAACAGCGGUUCCUGCCACGGCUCAUCAACACAAAUGGCCUCACAGCUGAGCAACAAAAAGAUGUUGCAAGCCGCCUAGUGCAAAUCGAUGGGAAGAAAGAGGAGCUGUACAAUAUGAUUUCUGGCCUUGAAAGGAGCUACAACGUUAGUGGCAAGAUAGUCCGGCAAAAUGGUCAGCUGGCGCGUCAUCUUGCUGUACUAGUCAAGCCUAAACCCAAUGACCCUUACUGGCGUUUGCAUUCAAGAUCACAAAGAAUUAUGGACUGCAUACAUUUUAUGGGGGGCUGUUGUUUAGGCCCUGUGAUUGUGAGUGGUUUUGCCUGGUGGAUGACAGAGGCACAUGCAGAAGAAAAAGAUGACAGUCUUGGAUGA